UCUUGGGCCGCCCCCGCGGCACAUGGAGGUUCCCAGGCUAGGGGUCCAAUCGGAGCUGUAGCCGCCGGCCUACGCCAGAGCCACAGCCACUCCUUGGGGUUGUUGUGGGCAGCGGGCAGCGGGCGGGGGGCACUGGGCUGUGUGUGGGGUUUAAGGACACAGGGAAGGCUGGUCAGUUACCGCCCCGGUUGGGCGCCAAGAGCCCGCCAGAAAGUCAUGUCUUUCCCCGACUGCAUUUUAUAAAUAAAAUAACAUUUUAAAAUCUAUUCUACUUAGAAAAGUAAAAGCAGUUUAUAGAAAAAUUGGAAACUACAGGAAAAAGAAGACUGCCCCCCGCCCCGUUUCGGCCAGAAUCCUCACUCGGCCUCGCAGCUGAGGUGCUGAGGCUCCGGCUGAGUCAGGGGUGCUUGGGCGGAAGGCCCAGUGGGGUGGACGUGGCCUUGACCUCUGGGCGCUUCCGAAGGGCCUCCUUCCUCUGACCAUGUCUGCUCGAGCCUCAGGUUUCCCAAGGAGUGAAGCCUCCCCGAGGCCUCGCCGGACGAGAGGUGGCGGCUCUGACCUCCCUGGCCUUGCUCCGGCUCCCGGGCCCACGGUGCUGGGAGAACCGCAGGCUGUUCCCGGGGCCGUGACUGAUGCCUCCGUCCAGGGAGGCUGCCCGUGCGGAAAGGCCCGGCUCCCGGGACAAGCGGCGCCCGGAGAGAGGCGGGUGGCCAUGCACCUGCGGCCGUCCUGGUGUCUCCAGAACCAGCUUAUCUGCCCUGAGCACCAGGCUGUGCCGGCCGCCCCAGUACAUGGGAGGGGGGCUGCGUGAGGGUCCCGGGGCGGCCCUCACAAAGCCCCCCAAGGCUGGGGCUCAGAUACAGGACUUGUGCUCUUCCAGGCUGGCGUUGGGGCCAUCGGAUCCGGGGCGGGCAGGGCUGGUCCCCACCAAGGCCCUGCUCCUGGACGUGUCCCCGAGCGCUCACACGGCCCCUCUCUGGGGACCAGGGCCCCUCGCCCCCGCCGUGACCUCACUUGAAUGCACUUACCUCUUUGAAGACCUGCCUCCAAGGACGUCACACUCGGAGGCGCUGAGGGCGAAAUUCGGGGACACGGUUUAGCUGCGAAAGGGGCCUCAUCCCUGUAGGACCUGGCUCCCACCCCAGGCUCCUCUGUGGCACCUGCUCCCCCCCCCAACACCCCCCCACCUCGGGGGCAGGUGGGAAGCCCAGCGGGAAGCUGGGAACACUUGCCCACAGACAUGGGGGUUCGAACUCCGCCUCCUUGCCAGGCCCUCUCGGCUCCUGGUGGAGAACAGCCAGAGCAGUGAUUUCAUCCGCCCCUGGACAGUUGUGGUCUUUCGAUUUAAACUUUAGCAUCUCCCCUCUUGGCAACACUGGAGGAGCAGAAAGACAGCGCGACGCCUUCUUGUCUGGGCGUUGCCACCGCUUCAGCCCGGCCCCGGGUGGAGGAGGGGACCAGCGCCACCGCGGCCCCGGGGGGCAAGGAGGGACGUGGCAUUUCCUGCGGCCACAACUGGGCGAGGCAGGCCCGGCCAGGUGGGCAGCUGCUCUCCUCUGCCAGAGGCCACUGCCAGCCGACAGUCCCCAGAAGGCUGUGUAUCUGGGGCUACAAACCCUGUGCGCUUAGAGUUCAUCCGACCCUCGCGUUGAACUGAUUUUUCUGUGUGAUUUGCCUAAAGAUGCCAUCAGGCCGAGAUGGUCACCCUGGCCCGGACACGCGGAUGGAGGCGUCCACGGGAGGUGCCUGGGGUCCAGCCCGAGACGGCGGGGGCGGGCAUAGCUGCGUGAUUGGGUAUAUGUGUGCACACCUGUGUGUGCGUGUGUGUGGAUGCACGUACACGUGUGGCUGCCUGCAUACGUAAGUGUGUGCAUAGCAUAUGUGGACAUGUGUCCCUGUGUAGGCAAUUAUGUGUGUGCCUGCGUGGACCUCUGUGUGACUGCGUGUCUACAUGCGUGUGAAUCACGGGUGUACGCGAACAUUAAACUGUCACAGUGUGAAACCUGAUGGGGGCAGAGUUUGCUGAGGGAGGCGUUCGGCGUCACUCGGCGGGUAAAAGGCACCCGUUGAAGUGCCCAGGGAUCGGAGGGCAGGUGAGAGAGCAGGACGUCUCGCGGCCAAAAGGCGUCCGUGUCUACACCCCCGCAGAGUUUGGGCUGCCGUGUGGCCACAGCUGCAGGGGGUAUUGGCUUCAGCAGGAUUACAAUGAAAAGCAGAACCAACCCAGAGACGAGGACCCAGGGCCGUCUCCCUGUGGAACUGAUUCAAGACCAGAGGGAAGGUUUCUCCGCUCAAACCACGCAAAGGUGGGAUGCGAUGUUCUGGAAUGUUCACCGAGACGGAAGGGCGCUCCCAGGGAAGGGGACCAACAGGCCGUCGACGCCCAAGGAGCUCAGGCCGGCGUGUCCUCACGCUCCGGGCACCGGCCUGACACUUAAUGCUGGAUCCCAUGGGGCGCCCAUCACAGCCCUCGGCCAUGGCUUCAGGACACCCGGAUGAGAAGGACAGAGUGUCCUUGUCCCCACGUGAGGACCCGGGAGAUGCCUGUGGUUUAUCAGAAGCACCCCGGGAUACUCGGCUCCACCCAAGAAAACGUACAGCACCCAUUUCUGUAUAAGAAUAUAUUAUUUAAAAGACGGUUUAAAAAUAAAAAUUCUGUACAGCA